rnacentral:lncRNA from 1 species
GAGAUUUAUUUUGAAAACUUACAAAUCACAUGAUGAGUUCCUAGCAUUACAAACUACCUACCACAGCAAUACUUGCUAUAACAUCUUUUACUUAUAUUCACAUUGAGUUUGAUCGAGCUGUGUAGACCCUUAGGAGCUUUUCAUGUGGUUAAAUUAAGAUAUUCACUUGCAAACAUCUACCACACCAUUCAUCACCAAUCAUUAAAAUUGCUAAAAAUAUUAUCACUCACUGUCCCAAAUGUUGUUAUUCACUCUCUUUGAAAAGAUUUAAUGCAGAAGAGGCAUGGGUUAUGCAAAAAUAUGUGAGGAAAUAAAAAGGGGUAAGUGCCCAGAACCUCGAAAAAGAAAGAAAAAAAGUGAGACGAGAGGUAAAAAUGGACAAGUGUCCGAAGUAGAAUUAGGGGUAUAAAGAUGCCCACUUGAGCGGAAAAAAUGGACAAGUGUCCGACAGUAUAAUUAGGGGUAUCUACUACCCACCUGAAAAAAAGAGACAGAAAGAUAGCCCAUGUUCUCCCAAAGCAAAGAUCAAAAUGGAGGAGAGAUAGCAAUAUGAGGAGCAAUGAGAACUAAGUUUUAUUAUCACUUAUACAUUUUUACCAUUACUAUCAUUUACUCCACCACGCAUGCACAUCUUGAUUUAAUUAUAUGUUGAGUUCCUUUGGAUCCAUGGCUCGAUUAGACAACAUAUGUAUGAGCUGUUUUUCACUCCUAUGAGCUCCACUUAAAUAUUUCAUUAGCUAUAUGUAAGUGACAUUUUGGUAAGGAUCCACAAAUACCUAAUCCUGGGCAUUCGGGUUACCCGAUUUUUUUGGGUCGGGUAAUUCGGGUAAUUCAAAAUUCGGGUAAUGAAACUUGUUACCUGAUAUUAGUCCCGAAAAAACACUACCCGC